UAGGGAGCGAGCGUUGUCCGGAAUUACUGGGUGUAAAGGGAGCGUAGGCGGGAUUGCAAGUCAGAUGUGAAAUGCAGGGGCUCAACCCCUGAGCUGCAUUUGAAACUGUAGUUCUUGAGUGAAGUAGAGGUAAGCGGAAUUCCUGAUGUAGCGGUGAAAUGCGUAGAUACCAGGAGGAACAUCGGUGGCGAAGGCGGCUUACUGGGCUUUUACUGACGCUGAGGCUCGAAAGCGUGGGGAGCAAA
rnacentral:rRNA from 1 species